rnacentral:tRNA from 1 species
GCCCGGGUGGCGAAAUUGGUAGACGCAGCAGACUCAAAAUCUGCCGUCCGCAAGGAUGUGCUGGUUCGAUUCCAGUCCCGGGCA